ACGCUGGCGGCGUGCUAAUACAUGCAAGUCGAACGAAACUUUCUUACACCGAAUGCUUGCAUUCACCGUAAGAAGUUGAGUGGCGGACGGGUGAGUAACACGUGGGUAACCUGCCUAAAAGAAGGGGAUAACACUUGGAAACAGGUGCUAAUACCGUAUAUCUCUAAGGAUCGCAUGAUCCUUAGAUGAAAGAUGGUUCUGCUAUCGCUUUUAGAUGGACCCGCGGCGUAUUAACUAGUUGGUGGGGUAACGGCCUACCAAGGUGAUGAUACGUAGCCGAACUGAGAGGUUGAUCGGCCACAUUGGGACUGAGACACGGCCCAAACUCCUACGGGAGGCAGCAGUAGGGAAUCUUCCACAAUGGACGCAAGUCUGAUGGAGCAACGCCGCGUGAGUGAAGAAGGUCUUCGGAUCGUAAAACUCUGUUGUUAGAGAAGAACACGAGUGAGAGUAACUGUUCAUUCGAUGACGGUAUCUAACCAGCAAGUCACGGCUAACUACGUGCCAGCAGCCGCGGUAAUACGUAGGUGGCAAGCGUUGUCCGGAUUUAUUGGGCGUAAAGGGAACGCAGGCGGUCUUUUAAGUCUGAUGUGAAAGCCUUCGGCUUAACCGGAGUAGUGCAUUGGAAACUGGAAGACUUGAGUGCAGAAGAGGAGAGUGGAACUCCAUGUGUAGCGGUGAAAUGCGUAGAUAUAUGGAAGAACACCAGUGGCGAAAGCGGCUCUCUGGUCUGUAACUGACGCUGAGGUUCGAAAGCGUGGGUAGCAACAGGAUA
rnacentral:rRNA from 2 species